rnacentral:rRNA from 1 species
AGUGAACGCUGGCGGUAGGCCUAACACAUGCAAGUCGAACGGCAGCACAGUAAGAGCUUGCUCUUACGGGUGGCGAGUGGCGGACGGGUGAGGAAUACAUCGGAAUCUACUUUUUCGUGGGGGAUAACGUAGGGAAACUUACGCUAAUACCGCAUACGACCUACGGGUGAAAGCAGGGGAUCUUCGGACCUUGCGCGAAUGAAUGAGCCGAUGUCGGAUUAGCUAGUUGGCGGGGUAAAGGCCCACCAAGGCGACGAUCCGUAGCUGGUCUGAGAGGAUGAUCAGCCACACUGGAACUGAGACACGGUCCAUACUCCUACGGGAGGCAGCAGUGGGGAAUAUUGGACAAUGGGCGCAAGCCUGAUCCAGCCAUACCGCGUGGGUGAAGAAGGCCUUCAGGUUGUAAAGCCCUUUUGUUGGGAAAGAAAAGCAGCAGGUUAAUACCCCGCUGUUCUGACGGUACCCAAAGAAUAAGCACCGGCUAACUUCGUG